rnacentral:rRNA from 1 species
ACACGUAGGGGCCUGACGUUGUUCGGAAUCAUUGGGCGUAAAGGGCGCGCAGGCGGCCGUCCAAGUCCGGUGUUAAAUGUUCGGGCUCAACCCGAUCAUGCGCUGGAAACUGGGCGGCUUGAGUCCCGUAGGGGAUGCCGGAAUUCCAGGUGUAGGGGUGAAAUCUGUAGAUAUCUGGAAGAACACCGAUGGCGAAGGCAGGCAUCUGGCCGGAGACUGACGCUGAGGCGCGAAGGCGCGGGGAGCGAACAGGUUUAGAUACCCUGGUAGUCCGCGCAGUAAACGAUGCGCACCAGGUGUCGGGCGGCAGCGCCCGGUACCGGAGCUAACGCGAUGAGUGCGCCGCCUGGGGAGUAUGCCCGCAAGGGUGAAACUCAAAUGAAUUGACGGGG